GACCAGACUCCUACGGGAGGCAGCAGUGGGGAAUAUUGCACAAUGGGGGAAACCCUGAUGCAGCGACGCCGCGUGAGCGAUGAAGUAUUUCGGUAUGUAAAGCUCUAUCAGCAGGGAAGAAGAUGACGGUACCUGACUAAGAAGCCCCGGCUAACUACGUGCCAGCAGCCGCGGUAAUACGUAGGGGGCAAGCGUUAUCCGGAUUUACUGGGUGUAAAGGGAGCGUAGACGGCGGCGCAAGCCAGAUGUGAAAGCCCGGGGCUCAACUCCGGGACUGCAUUUGGAACUGUGUGGCUGGAGUGUCGGAGAGGCAGGCGGAAUUCCUAGUGUAGCGGUGAAAUGCGUAGAUAUUAGGAGGAACACCAGUGGCGAAGGCGGCCUGCUGGACGAUGACUGACGUUGAGGCUCGAAAGCGUGGGGAGCAAACAGGAUUAGAUACCCGUGUAAC
rnacentral:rRNA from 1 species